GCGAGUGGCGAACGGGUGAGUAAUACAUCGGAACGUGCCCAGUUGUGGGGGAUAGCCCGGCGAAAGCCGGAUUAAUACCGCAUACGACCUACGGGUGAAAGCGGGGGAUCGCAAGACCUCGCGCUAUUGGAGCGGCCGAUGUCAGAUUAGCUUGUUGGUGGGGUAAAAGCCUACCAAGGCGACGAUCUGUAGCUGGUCUGAGAGGACGACCAGCCACACUGGGACUGAGACACGGCCCAGACUCCUACGGGAGGCAGCAGUGGGGAAUUUUGGACAAUGGGCGCAAGCCUGAUCCAGCCAUGCCGCGUGCGGGAAGAAGGCCUUCGGGUUGUAAACCGCUUUUGUCAGGGAAGAAACGGUCUGGCCUAAUACGCCGGACUAAUGACGGUACCUGAAGAAUAAGCACCGGCUAACUACGUGCCAGCAGCCGCGGUAAUACGUAGGGUGCAAGCGUUAAUCGGAAUUACUGGGCGUAAAGCGUGCGCAGGCGGCUAUACAAGACAGAUGUGAAAUCCCCGGGCUCAACCUGGGAACUGCAUUUGUGACUGCAUGGCUAGAGUACGGUAGAGGGGGAUGGAAUUCCGCGUGUAGCAGUGAAAUGCGUAGAUAUGCGGAGGAACACCGAUGGCGAAGGCAAUCCCCUGGACCUGUACUGACGCUCAUGCACGAAAGCGUGGGGAGCAAACAGGAUUAGAUGCCCUGGUAGUCCACGCCCUAAACGAUGUCAACUGGUUGUUGGACGGCUUGCUGUUCAGUAACGAAGCUAACGCGUGAAGUUGACCGCCUGGGGAGUAUGGCCGCAAGGUUGAAACUCAAAGGAAUUGACGGGGACCCGCACAAGCGGUGGAUGAUGUGGUUUAAUUCGAUGCAACGCGAAAAACCUUACCUACCCUUGACAUGCCAGGAACUUACCAGAGAUGGUUUGGUGCUCGAAAGAGAACCUGGACACAGGUGCUGCAUGGCCGUCGUCAGCUCGUGUCGUGAGAUGUUGGGUUAAGUCCCGCAACGAGCGCAACCCUUAUCAUUAGUUGCUACGCAAGGGCACUCUAAUGAGACUGCCGGUGACAAGCCGGAGGAAGGUGGGGAUGACGUCAGGUCAUCAUGGCCCUUAUGGGUAGGGCUACACACGUCAUACAAUGGCCGGUACAGAGGGCUGCCAACCCGCGAGGGGGAGCUAAUCUCAGAAAACCGGUCGUAGUCCGGAUCGCAGUCUGCAACUCGACUGCGUGAAGUCGGAAUCGCUAGUAAUCGCGGAUCAGCUUGCCGCGGUGAAUACGUUCCCGGGUCUUGUACACACCGCCCGUCACACCAUGGGAGCGGGUUCUGCCAGAAGUAGUUAGCCUAACCGUAAGGGGGGCGAUUACCACGGCAGGGUUCGUGACUGGGGUGAAGUCGUAACAAGGUA
rnacentral:rRNA from 1 species